rnacentral:rRNA from 1 species
AGAGUUUGAUUCUGGCUCAGGACGAACGCUGGCGGUGCGCCUAAUGCAUGCAAGUCUACUACUUGUGACCUCGGUCACGCUAUGGUGGUGGCAGACGGCUUAGUAACACGUAAGUAAUCUACCCUCAAGUGGGGGAUAAUCCGAAGAAAUUCGGUCCAAUACCCCAUAAUGUUUUAGUAUAUAUGUAUUGAAAAGAAAGAUUUAUCGCUUUUGGAGGAGCUUGCGGCCUAUCAGGUAGUUGGUAAGGGUAAUGGCCUACCAAGCCAAAGACGGGUAACCGAAGUGAGAGCUUGAUCGGUAAGAGGGGGACUGAGACACGGCCCCCACUCCUACGGGAGGCAGCAGCAGGGAAUCUUGCGCAAUGGACUGUAUGGUCUGACGCAGCGACACCGCGUGGAGGAUGAAUGCUUUAGGGUUGUAAACUCCUUUUCUUAGGGAAGAUGAUGACGGUACCUAAGGAAUAAGCAUCGGCUAACUACGUGCCAGCAGCCGCGGUAAUACGUAGGAUGCGAGCGUUGUCCGGAAUUAUUGGGCGUAAAGGGCGUCUAGGUUGACUAAUAAGUCCUGUGUGAAAUCUCUUGGCUCAACCAAGAAAGGUCACAGGAAACUAUUAAUCUAGAGGUCAUCAGAGGUAAGUGGAAUUCACGGAGUAGUGGUGAAAUGCGUAGAUACCGUGAGGAACACCAGAGGCGAAAGCGGCUUACUAGGAUGAACCUGACACUAAAGCGCGAAAGCGUGGGUAGCAAACCGGAUUAGAUACCCGGGUAGUCCACGCCAUAAACGAUGGAUACUAGUUAUGGGAGGCAUUGACCCAUCUGUAACGAAGCUAACGCAUUAAGUAUCCCGCCUGGGGAGUACGGCCGCAAGGUUAAAACUCAAAGAAAUUGAC